rnacentral:RNase_P_RNA from 1 species
CGGGCCGGCCAGACAGUCGCUGGCGGCUAUUCUUUUUUGAAGAGUGGCCGCUGGAGGAAAGUCCGGGCUCCACAGGGCAGGGUGCCAGGUAACGCCUGGGGGCCACACUGGUGACGGUGUGGCUACGGAAAGUGCCGCAGAGAAUAUACCGCCGAUGGCUUCUUUCUUCGGAAAGGGCACAGGUAAGGGUGAAAAGGUGCGGUAAGAGCGCACCGCGCUUCUGGUAACAGGAGUGGCAGGGUAAACCCCACCCGGAGCAAGACCAAAUAGGGUUCCUAUGGCGUGGCCCGCGCUGGAACCGGGUAGGUCGCUAGAGGCCUGUGGCGACGCAGGUCCCAGAUGAAUGACUGUCCACGACAGAACCCGGCUUAUCGGCCGGCCCCCUGA